GACGAACGCUGGCGGCGUGCCUAAUACAUGCAAGUAGGACGCAGUUGCGAACGGGUGAGUAACGCGUAGGUAACUACCUAUUAGAGGGGGAUAACUAUUGGAAACGAUAGCUCAUACCGCAUACUAGUAGAUGGACCUGCGUUGUAUUAGGUAGUAGGUAGGGUAAUGGCCUACCUAGGCAACGAUACAUAGCCGACCUGAGGAGGGGAUCGGCCAAAACGGGACGGCGACACGGCCCAGACUCCGACGGGAGGCAGCAGUAGGGAAUCUUCGGCAAUGGGGGGAAACCUGACCGGGGAACGGCGGGUGAGGGAAGAAGGGUUUCGGAUCGUAAAGCUCUGUUGUUAAGGAAGCGGUACUUAACCAGAAAGGGACGGCUAACUACGUGCCAGCAGCCGCGGUAAUAC
rnacentral:rRNA from 1 species